rnacentral:rRNA from 1 species
CCCUUAGAUGUCCUGGGCCGCACGCGCGCUACACUGACAUGUACAACAAGCCUCCUAGUUCGACAGGAUUUGGGAAAUCUUUGAACGCAUGUCGUGAUAGGGAUAGAUCAUUGCAAUUAUUGAUCUUGAACGAGGAAUUCCUAGUAAACGCGAGUCAUCAGCUCGCAUUGAUUACGUCCCUGCCCUUUGUACACACCGCCCGUCGCACCUACCGAUUGAAUGUUUCGGUGAAGAUUCCGGAUAGGACUUUUUUGAUUUAUUUCAAUUUUGUCUUAAAAGCUAUCUAAACCUCAACAUUUAGAGGAAGGUGAAGUCGUAACA